rnacentral:rRNA from 1 species
UACGUAGGUGGCAAGCGUUGUCCGGAUUUAUUGGGCGUAAAGCGCGCGCAGGCGGUCCUUUAAGUCUGAUGUGAAAUCUUGCGGCUCAACCGCAAGCGGUCAUUGGAAACUGGGGGACUUGAGUACAGAAGAGGAAAGCGGAAUUCCACGUGUAGCGGUGAAAUGCGCAGAUAUCAGGAGGAACACCAAUUGCGAAGGCAGCUCGCUGGGACGUAACUGACGCUGAGACGCGAAAGCGUGGGGAGCAAACAGG